ensembl:piRNA 21ur-5228 ncRNA
UUCAUUGGAUGAUGGAAGAAC